GUGAGGAAUAUUGGACAAUGGGCGCAAGCCUGAUCCAGCCAUGCCGCGUGCAGGAAGACGCAUCUAUGGUGUGUAAACUGCUUUUGUACGGGAAGAAACACUCCCUCGUGAGGGAGCUUGACGGUACCGUAAGAAUAAGGAUCGUCUAACUCCGUGCCAGCAGCCGCGGUAAUACGGAGGAUCCAAGCGUUAUCCGGCAUCAUUGGGUUUAAAGGGUCCGUAGGCGGUUUAAUAAGUCAGUGGUGAAAGCCCAUCGCUCAACGAUGGAACGGCCAUUGAUACUGUUAGACUUGAAUUACAAGGAAGUAACUAGAAUAUGUAGUGUAGCGGUGAAAUGCUUAGAUAUUAGGAGGAACACCAGUGGCGAAGGCGGCUUGCUGGGCUUUUACUGACGCUGAGGCUCGAAAGUGUGGGGAGCAAACAGGAUUAGAUACCCUAGUAGUCC
rnacentral:rRNA from 1 species